GAUGAACGCUGGCGGCGUGCCUAAUACAUGCAAGUCGAGCGAACAGACGAGGAGCUUGCUCCUCUGACGUUAGCGGCGGACGGGUGAGUAACACGUGGAUAACCUACCUAUAAGACUGGGAUAACUUCGGGAAACCGGAGCUAAUACCGGAUAAUAUAUUGAACCGCAUGGUUCAAUAGUGAAAGACGGUUUUGCUGUCACUUAUAGAUGGAUCCGCGCCGCAUUAGCUAGUUGGUAAGGUAACGGCUUACCAAGGCAACGAUGCGUAGCCGACCUGAGAGGGUGAUCGGCAACCCUGGAACUGAGACACGGUCCAGACUCCUACGGGAGGCAGCAGUAGGAAAUCUUCCGCAAUGGGCGAAAGCCUGACGGAGCAACGCGGCGUGAGUGAUGAAGGUCUUCGGAUCGUAAAACUCUGUUAUUAGGAAAGAACAAAUGUGUAAGUAACUAUGCACGUCUUGACGGUACCGAAUCAGAAAGCCACGGCUAACUACGU
rnacentral:rRNA from 1 species